GUGUGUGUGUGUGUGUUUGUGUCUGUGUGUCUCUGUGAGUGUGUGUGUGUGUGUGUUUGUGUCUGUGUGUCUCUGUGAGUGUGUGUGUGUGUGUGUUUGUGUCUGUGUGUCUCUGUGAGUGUGUGUCUGUGUGUGUUUGUGUCUGUGUGUCUCUGUGAGUGUGUGUCUGUGUGUGUUUGUGUCUGUGUGUCUCUGUGAGUGUGUGUCUGUGUGUGUUUGUGUCUGUGUGUCUCUGUGAGUGUGUGUCUGUGUGUGUUUGUGUCUGUGUGUCUCUGUGAGUGUGUGUGUGUGUGUGUUUGUGUCUGUGUGUCUCUGUGAGUGUGUGUGUUUUCAGCCCGCGGAGGGUCCCGCGCCGGAGGCUGCAGGAUUGUGGAGCGCUCAAAGCCCCAGCUGCGCUCUGCCUGGAAACACGCUGAGCUCCACACUGAACACCAGCGCCAAACCGGCCCGAUCACACACCAUCGAGGUGAUGAACAGAGAUUCCACUUCCUGUGCGGCUCAGGGCACCAUGUUCCACUUCCUGUCCAAACUCCGCCGCCACGCCAGCCUGGAGGGAGCGGGUCCGUUCUGGAGACUGGACACCAGAGGUUCUCCGCGGAGACGUGCAUUUCAGAGGCAGCGGGCAGCCAGCGAGACUCUGGAUCGUGUAGAAGAAACCUUGCAGGGUGGAGUCAGCGACUUCUUGUUGCGAAAACCCACCGCGCUGCCUCAGGUGGAGCCGCCAAGACGCCUCUCAGCCGGUUCUUUGGAUGCAGGAGCUCCUCCUGCCCUCAGCAGGUACG
rnacentral:lncRNA from 1 species